rnacentral:rRNA from 1 species
GUGGGGAAUAUUGCACAAUGGGCGCAAGCCUGAUGCAGCCAUGCCGCGUGUGUGAAGAAGGCCUUCGGGUUGUAAAGCACUUUCAGCGGGGAGGAAGGCGAUAAGGUUAAUAACCUUGUCGAUUGACGUUACCCGCAGAAGAAGCACCGGCUAACUCCGUGCCAGCAGCCGCGGUAAUACGGAGGGUGCAAGCGUUAAUCGGAAUUACUGGGCGUAAAGCGCACGCAGACGGUCUGUCAAGUCGGAUGUGAAAUCCCCGGGCUCAACCUGGGAACUGCAUUCGAAACUGGUAGGCUAGAGUCUUGUAGAGGGGGGUAGAAUUCCAGGUGUAGCGGUGAAAUGCGUAGAGAUCUGGAGGAAUACCGGUGGCGAAGGCGGCCCCCUGGACAAAGACUGACGCUCAGGUGCGAAAGCGUGGGGAGCAAACAGGAUUAGAUACCCUAGUAGUCC